AACAAAUAAAUAAAUAAACAAAAGAAAAAAGUUGUUCGUAUUCUCUUACUAUAUGACCUACCACCUUAUUCAGGCAAAUAGUUUGGUGUUAGGCAUGAUCAAAAACUAAAUCUGAGCAAGUAAUAUUCCAAAAUGAGAGGAUUUUGUGUUGCUGCAGUGAGAUACGACUCCUAUGGAUUCUCUCAUGUUUCAAAUCUGAGAAUGAGUUCAUAACCCAGGUUGAGAACAACAUUGUUGUCCUAAUAUGGUUUUGCUACUAUCAUGCAGGCUCUCGUUUCAUCAUGGAAACAAUGUGAUACAAUGCCAUUCAUAUUUGAUACGGUAAUUUCUUCAUUCGUUCUGUUUUGAAACAUAUAGUUUGACGAGUCUGUAACAGUAUAUAUCAAAUAUUUCAGAAUCCAAUGUAAUUAAUGAAUAAAAAAACUCAACUGAAAACUUUGCAUUCUGCAGGUCUGGGACUUGAUAAAACUGGCUAAUUAUCUUGCACAGAGCGAGGAUAUAGACCCUUCUAAGAUAGGAAUCACCGGUGAAUCACUUGGAGGAAUGCAUGCGUGGUUUGCUGCUGCUGUUGACACCCGCUAUGCUGUAGCUGUACCAAUAAUUGGGGUUCAUGGCUUUCGAUGGGCUAUAGACCAUGACAAGUGGCACGGUCGGGUUGACAAUAUCAAGGCUGUGUUUGAAGGUGAGGCACAGAAAGAUGAAAUUAAUUAAUUUCAAACAUCAAAAAGUAAAGGGAAUUAACUAUGACUUUGUUUGUAAUUCACUUCUACUUGUUUGCUCUGGAAUCAGCAACUCCUACUACAAAAUUCAUUUUUGUGGAGGCUUCUCAUAUUCAAAAUACUUUGAUGUUGUUGAUAUUUGAGCACUCAAAAGUAAAUUCCAACCUGUAGUUGUAACCAUCCAUAAGAAACAGAGUAAUCAAUGGUUAAACUGUAAGGACCUUUUGUAAAUGUUUGCAUAACUAACUCUUUAUGGGACGUGUGCCAUUCGAAGUAUUGAGCUUCUUGAAGCAUAUUUCUUGGAUUGAAUGCAUCUAUUGUUUUUGUGAUACUACUAGUUUUUGGUUUCAGAAACACGGAUUGAUCUAGGGAAGAGUGCUAUUGAUAAGGAAGUGGUGGAGCAGGUCAGUUACAGUUCAAUUCUGUACAUCUAAAUAAGCUGCAAUAUUACCAUGUGAUCACAACUAAGCUAUGUGGAGAUUUUAGCUUUACCACCUAUUGUACAUAUAUCAAAAGUGUCGGUUUCAGAAAAUCGAAACAUCUAAUGGUUUUUUCACCCAGAGGAGCGACUGUUUUCUCUGGAUCUUGAAAAGCCAUCAAUCCCUGGUUUUUUUGUGCCAGUUAUACUAUUCUAGCUGCAGAUGGCAUUUUUAUCCUCCAAUAAGCAGCUUGUAUGUUGAGCUUUCUACUCUUUGGGAGCCAGAUCGCAUAUAAUAUGAUUUCUUUUUCAAAUCAGGUUUGGAUCAGAAUUGCUCCUGGCUUAGCUUCCAAGUUUGAUUCACCUUAUUCUAUUCCAAUUAUUGCACCACGGCCUCUGCUGAUCUUUAGAUGGUAUGACCUUUCCCGUGUAAAAAAUUACUAACUGCACAUAAUCCGAUUACAGAACUAGACACAACCCUCUCACUCACAUGAGGUAAGAGAACCCAUUAAAUGUGUGGCUGUUCAGUGAUCAGAUUCUGUGUACAUAGAAGAGCUGUUUAUGGCACUCCAGUCAUCAAUGAACUAGUAGGUUCACUUUCUUAGAAGCAAAGAACAUACUUGAAAUGUAACAUUUUUUUUAACAUACAGGUGAAAAAGAUCCUCGAUGCCCAAUUGAAGGUCUGGAAAUUACCAAAUCAAGAGCAUGCAAGGCUUAUGAAGAUGCCCAUUGUCCAGAUAAUUUCAAGGUGAUAGCACAACCUGGAAUUGGACACGAAAUGAUGCCAUUGAUGGUGAAAGAAGCCAGUGAUUGGUUUGAUACAUUCCUCAAGUAAGAAUAGCAAUAGCUCCCUGAUUAUUAGGAAUAUUAUUUGUGUAGAUG